UACGUAGGGAGCGAGCGUUGUCCGGAUUUAUUGGGCGUAAAGCGCGCGUAGGCGGUUUGGUAAGCCGGGUGUGAAACCCUCGAGCUCAGCUCGGGGCGGCCACUCGGAACUGUCAUGACUCGAGUCAGGUAGGGGAACACGGAAUUCCAGGUGUAGCGGUGAAAUGCUUAGAUAUCUGGAGGAACACCAGUGGCGAAGGCGGUGUUCUGGGCCUGUACUGACGCUGAUGCGCGAAAGCGUGGGGAGCGAACAGG
rnacentral:rRNA from 1 species